rnacentral:rRNA from 1 species
GACGAACGCUGGCGGCGUGCCUAACACAUGCAAGUUGAGCGACGAACCAGGGCUUGCCCUGGGGCAAAGCAGCGAACGGGUGAGUAACACGUGGGUAACCUACCCCGAUAACCGGGACAACCCGAGGAAACUCGGGCUAAUACCGGAUGUGCUCACUGGACUUCGGUUCAGUGCGUAAAGGAAGCUUCGGCCUCCGUAUCGGGAGGGGCCCGCGGCCCAUUAGUUUGUUGGUGAGGUAACGGCUCACCAAGACCGCGAUGGGUAGCUGGUCUGAGAGGACGAUCAGCCACACUGGGACUGAGACACGGCCCAGACUCCUACGGGAGGCAGCAGUGGGGAAUCUUGCGCAAUGCGCGAAAGCGUGACGCAGCAACGCCGCGUGGGGGAAGAAGGCCUUCGGGUCGUAAACCCCUUUCAGGAGGGACGAAGGUUCGGCGGUGAAUAGCCGUCCGGACUGACGGUACCUCCACAAGAAGCCCCGGCUAACUACGUG